rnacentral:rRNA from 1 species
AUCAUCCCGUAGGAGGGGUAACGGCCCUCCUAGGACUUUACGCGUACGUGGAAUUAGGGUUCGACUACGGAGAAUGAGCAUGAGAGACGGCUCAUAGUUCUAAGGGAGGCAGCAGGCGCGAAAAUUGCCCAAUGUACGGUCGUACGAGGCAGUGACGAACAAUCUCAGCCGGGCUUUUGCCCGAUUUGAGCUGAGGCAGGUGCACACGCCCUGCCAAUUGCAAUUAGUGGGAGAGGAUGGUGCCAGCAGCCGCGGUAAUUCCAUCACUGAUAGCUUUCUCUUAUGUUGCUGCAGUUAAAAGGCCCGUAGCCGUUACUAGCGCAAGCGUGUCACUUUGAGAAAAUCGGAGCGUUCAUAGCAGGCUAGCCGCUGUACAGCACAGCAAAGCACGACAUCACGGCCUCCGGGCCGUAUGGAGUACAUGGCAGCGCGUGGUCGAUGGUAUUUGCCAGGGACAGGUGAAAUAGGAUGAUCUGGCAAGGACCUCCAGGAGCGAAGGCAAUCGACAAGCGCUGGCCAGUUGGUCAAGGGCGAAAGUGUAAGGACAGACGAUGAUUAGAAACCGUUUUAUUUUACGCCUUAAACGAUACCAUCUAGACAGCGGGCGUUGUGCUCGCAGUCCCAAGGAAACCGAAAGGCUUCAGGCUCUGGGGGGAGUAUGGUUGCAAGAUUGAAACUUGAAGGAAUUGACGGAAAGAUACCACAAGACGUGGAGUCUGCGGCUCAAUUUGACCCAACACGCAAAUCUUACCAGACCCAGAUGCUUUACGGAGCAACAGAUUAAGAGUUCUUUUGCGAUUAGGCAGUUGGUGGUGCAUGGCCGCUCCUAGUUCGUGGUGUUAACUGUCUGCUUUAUUGCGAUAACGAGCGAGAUAAGCAGGUCCCCGCGGGGACCGAGCGCCAGCGUCGAGCUGGACGAACGCGCUUGCCCUAGCAGGUCUGUGAUGCCCUUAGACACUCUGGGCCGCACGCGUACUACAAUGCCGGCGGCAAAGCGCAGCAAGGCCGAAAGGCCGCGCAAUCCGGUAACCGCCGGCGUGGUCGGGAUCGGAGCUUGGUAUUUUUCUCCGUGAACGAGGAAUGCCUUGUAAACGUACGUAAGAAGCGUACGCUGACUAUGUCCCUGUCUCUUGUACACACCGCCCGUCGCUCCUACCGACUUGGGUGUUUUGGUGAGUUGUCCGGAGCGCGCUGGGUUAUUCCAGCCUGCGAAGUUCUGCGAACCUAAAUGCCUGGAGGAAGGAGAAGUCGUAACAAGGCU